AUUCAUCUCAAGUUAUUUCUAUCCAUUAGAUUAAGGGUUUAUGUAAUUGCAAAGUGUAAAACCUAUAUAAAGGCUAUGCAGUGGCGAUUUGUAACCCUAAGGGAGUAAGGGGGAUUCCCCCUCUCCACUUCAUGAAUGAAAAACUUGUUCUUGAAUCUGAAACCUAAUCUCUAAUCUCUUAUUCUCCUAAUCUCCCAGUCACUUAAUCUCUGUUCCUAAGUCUCUUAUUCUCUCAUAAACACUCUCAUCAAUCUCUCUUUCUAAAUCACCUAGAGCAAGCUCUCAUCUUUCUCCAUUGGAGUUUAUACACACACAUACAACCAGAGAAGAGAACUCUACAAAUCUCAUAUGGAAUCAGAGCCAGGUUCAUCAGAACAUGAGCUGAAGCUUCCGCAAGUCCACAGCUCACGCUUCACCUCAAAACCAAACCAUUGAGGCUUUCCCAUCCGGUUCAGUCCCUUGUGAAAAAGAAGGCUGAAGCUUGGCGAUUUCCCUUGGUUCCUCAUCAUGUUCUCUACCUGCUCAGAUGGAGAUUAUCCUUGGAGGCAAAGGCGUAUGGAGAGGCCUAACUAACCUGACUCCAAAGCUCUUUGUCCAAGAGAAGUUUCACAUCCGGCUACAAGAGUAUGGUGUGAAGAGUUUGGCGCC
rnacentral:lncRNA from 1 species